AGGUGUGCCCGUUGUUGUUGUUCGUGCGGUGGUGUUUCGCUGGUACAGUAAUGGUUGACAUUCGUGACAUCUAAAACCCUUUCUGCACUAAUACGGGUAAGGGGACCUAAGGGAUAGGGCUCCUAGGAGCCUUUAAGGGGCCUAGGGGAUAGGGCCCUUAGGGGUCCUACAAAGUAAAGGUCCCUAGGACCCCACCUAGGAGCCCAGGGGGUAGGCCCCUAGGGGUCCUUAGGAGACUAAAGAGGCCUAGGGCCCUUAGGAGACUAAAGAGGCCUAGGGCCCUUAGGAGCUGAAGGCACUUAGGGGGCAAAGGGAUUACAAAUAUUUUAAAUUUUAAAAAAUAAAAAUAAUUAAAAUAAAGUUUCAACAAAAAUAAAAACUAAAAAAAAAAUCGCCUAAAGCCAAAACGGAUGUCCCAUAUCCGUUUGGCCUUGAAAUGGAUGUGCGACAUCCGUUGACGGAUAUGCAACAUUCGUUUUAAGGCUAAACAGAUGAUAUGCGACAUCUGUUCUGGUUGAGCGGUUAUUGUCUCUCUGCAUACAGGCAACAAACACCACGAAACACCAGCAAACCAACAAAUGCACACAGUGAAAGGAAUAAAUCUAAGAUUUAUGCAUGCAUUCUAAAAACUACAAAACAACACCUCGUAAACAAAGAACCUGGUAGAUGAACGACGAUCUACAACCCUAAACCCUAAACCCUAAACCCUAAACCCUAAACCCUAAACCCUAAACCCUAAACCCUAAACCCUAAACCCUAAACCCUAAACCCUAAACNN
rnacentral:lncRNA from 1 species